UACGUAGGCAGCGAGCGUUGUUCGGAGUUACUGGGCGUAAAGAGUGCGUAGGCGGUUUUCUAAGUUUGGUGUGAAAUCUCCCGGCUUAACUGGGAGGGUGCGCCGAAAACUGCGUGGCUUGAGUGCGGGAGAGGAGAGCGGAAUUCCUGGUGUAGCGGUGAAAUGCGCAGAUAUCAGGAAGAACACCAAUGGCGAAGGCAGCUCUCUGGGACGGUACUGACGCUGAGACGCGAAAGCGUGGGGAGCGAACAGG
rnacentral:rRNA from 1 species